UUCCAGACUCCUACGGGAGGCAGCAGUGGGGGAUAUUGCACAAUGGGGGAAACCCUGAUGCAGCGACGCCGCGUGGGCGAAGAAGUAUUUCGGUAUGUAAAGCCCUAUCAGCAGGGAAGAAGAAAUGACGGUACCUGAGUAAGAAGCACCGGCUAAAUACGUGCCAGCAGCCGCGGUAAUACGUAUGGUGCAAGCGUUAUCCGGAUUUACUGGGUGUAAAGGGAGCGUAGACGGCGGCGCAAGUCCGGAGUGAAAGCCCAGGGCCCAACCGUGGGACUGCUCUGGAAACUGUGCGGCUUGAGUGCGGGAGGGGCAGGCGGAAUUCCUAGUGUAGCGGUGAAAUGCGUAGAUAUUAGGAGGAACACCGGCGGCGAAGGCGGCCUGCUGGACCGUAACUGACGUUGAGGCUCGAAAGCGUGGGGAGCAAACAGGAUUAGAUACCCGUGUACA
rnacentral:rRNA from 1 species